UUAGGAUGGAGAAAAACAUGCUCUUGCUUCUCUGUCUCACAUUCCCAGGCUUCCUCCACUUCCUUGUUUCAGAAUUUCACAACCAACACAGGAUCAACGUUGUCUCUAUGAGACAGACGCUCACAUCCAUAUGGGCAGAGGCCCAUCGGUGAUGGUGAUGCAAGCACGGGCUUCCGCCGCAUCGAUGACGCCCAACAUCAUCGUAUAUCAAUGGACAAGAACUAGAUGAUGAAUUCUCAUAUUUAUGGACAGCAGCACCUCCUCUAUCAGCCUCCCAUAACAAAAAUCAUAAACACCGCGUUAGUCGUAAUAGUUUUCCCGAUGAGGAUAAUCCCAUGAGGCUUUUCACAAAUGUCUCAAGAUGGAAUAACAAAAUACAA
rnacentral:sRNA from 1 species